rnacentral:lncRNA from 10 species
GCCGCCUAGAGAAGAGGCUGUGCUUCGGCGCUCCGGCUCCUCAGAGAGCCUCGGCUAGCUGGGAUUCUGUCCCUGACCGUCUUCACAGUCCAGGUGAUCUUGACUACUGCUUUACAGAGAAUUGGAUCUGAGGUGUGGAAACAGGAAGAGAACUAGAACUGGAAGUAAAGCAUUGAAGAUGUGACUGAAUUGCUGCAAUCUCAUGAUCAAAUUUGAAUGGAUGAGGAGUUGCUUUUUAGGGAUGAGCAAAGAAAGUGGUUUCUCGAGAUGGAAUCUACUGGUGAAGUUGCUGUGAACAUUGUUAAAAUGCCAAUAAAGGAUUUAGGAAUUACAGAAACCUGGUUGAUAAAGCAGUGCCAGGGUGUGAGAGAGUUGACUUCAAUUUUGAAAUAAGUUCCACUGGCUGGGUGUGGUGGCUCACACCUGCAAUCCCAGUACUUUAGGAGGCCGAGACUGGUAGAUCAUUUGAGGUCAGGAGUUCAAGACCAGCCUUGCCAACAUGGUGAAACCCCACCUCUACCAAAUUAGCCAGGUGUGGUGCACACCUGUAGUCCCAGCUACUUGGGAAGCUGAGGCAGGAGAAUCUCUUGAACCAGGGAGGAGGAGGUUGCAGUAAGCCGAGAUGGCGCCCCUGCACUCCAGCCUGGGUGACAGAGUGAGACCUUGCGUUUAAAAAAAAAAAAAAAGGAAAAGGAAAAAAAAGUUCUACUGUGGGUAAAAUGCUAUCAUGCUAUCAAACAGCAUCACAUGCUACAGAGAAGUCUUGUGAAAGGAUGUCAGUGUGGCAAACUUCAUUGUCUUUUAAGAAAUUGCCACAGCUAUCGUAAUCUUCAACCACCACCACCCUGAUGAGUCAGUAGCCAUCGUUAACGUUGGCGUAAGACCCUCCACCAGCAAAAAGAUUGUUAGCAUUUUUUUAGCAGUGAUGUAUUUAUCAAUUAUACAUAAUGCUAUUGUACACUUCUUAAUAGACUAUGGUAUAGUGUAACCAUAAUUUAUGCACUGGGAAACCAACAAAUUCAUGAGAUUCGCUUUAUUGUAGUGCUCUGGAAUUGAGCCUGCCGUGUUUCUGAGGUAUACCUGUGUAUUUAGUAUGUUCCUUGUAUAUAAAACCCCAUUUUAUAGGGUAGGAAACUAAGGCUUAGAGUUUGAGCAAUUUUCCCAUAGAUAACACCAAUAAAUUGAGGGCUGCAGAGACCACUUAAGUGGUUCUCUUAACAGUAGUCUAGACAUGACGUAAUGAGAUUUGGCUUAGGAGUGACAAUGGUAAGGAAGUUAAAGGAUUCAGGAACCAAAUACCAGUUAUUGAGAAGAAAGAAUGGCCUCAAAACAUCACUUCUCAAGGAAGCCUUGAUACCCUCACCCUUACUACACUGUAUCCUCCAUUUGAAUGUUGUCAAGAGCUCUUCUCACAAUUGUAAAUAAUAAUUGUGUAAUUUUGUUUUUUUUUUCCUACUUUAGGUUGCUCCUUGAGGGCAGGACAGUUCUUAUGGCUUUAUCCGUUGCGUAAGCACAGAGAGGUCUGCGAGGUCAAAACUAUUGUCAUGAUAGCAAGAUGCCUGUCUUUUUCAUUUAUUCUCACGGUGUGCAGAGGCUACAUGAUGUGUGAUGACAUCCUCAUUGAUGUUAAUGAAUGGUGCUAUACUUGAAUUUUCUAAGGUGUCAUUAGGUAGGUUUAGCAAUUCUCCUGCCUCAGCCUCCUGCAUAACUGGGACUACAGGGAAGCACCAUUUUCCACAAAACUCUCAAGAAGGACUUGUUGCAACUGGAAAAGCAAUUAAAUGUGAAUCGUGAUCCAGGAGAAAGUAACAACUCACAUAACUCCCAAAUUAAAAGUUUUCCAAAGAUAUAUCAUUUUUUUUCUCUUGGCCUUUUAAGAAACUAGCCAACAAAUACUCUUGACAGGUUUGUGUUUGGUUUUGAAAACACACACCUUAGUGUACUGAAAGAAAAACAAUUUCUUUUAAUUUGGUUUGUUGGUCCCACACCCCAUCUAUCAAUGUAUGUGCUAUUUACAAAUAAGUUCUAUACAGUAUUUUUGCAGUACCUUUGAUAAUUCCUAGACCUCUAUUUUCAUUCUGUGUAUUAAUGUGAAUAACAGAUGGAUAUUUUAAUAUUUAAGGCAGAUGGUAAACUUUCCUAUAGGUCUUGUGAGACUUCGUCUUAUAGGCUGAACACCAUUCACAAAAUGUAAUAAUGCUUCAUUCCUUCAGGUUGAGGUAAAGAACUUGAGCAACUGGAUUAGCAAAGCUGCAAAGAAUGAAAUGUGGCCUAAGAUGUAAUUAUGUUCUCUGCCCUUCCUUUGGGCCAGGGUAGUUUUGCACUUGACACAAUGGAAAAUAGGCCAUAAAGCCUGAAAAUAAAAUGUUCUAAACCCCAA